rnacentral:tRNA from 1 species
GCAACCCUAGCUCAGUUGGUAGAGCACUAGACUGAAAAUCUGGGUGUCCCCGGUUCAAGUCCGGGGGGUUGCACCA